UACGUAGGGUGCAAGCGUUUGUCCGGAAUUAUUGGGCGUAAAGAGCUCGUAGGCGGUGUGUCGCGUCGGCCGUGAAAACCCGGAGCUCAACUCCGGGCCUGCAGUCGAUACGGGCAGACUGGAGUUCGGCAGGGGAGACUGGAAUUCCUGGUGUAGCGGUGAAAUGCGCAGAUAUCAGGAGGAACACCGGUGGCGAAGGCGGUUCUCUGGGCAUGUCCUGACGCUGAGGAGCGAAAGUGUGGGGAGCGAACAGG
rnacentral:rRNA from 1 species